GCCUGGUUGGCUCAGUUGGUUGAGCAUCUGACUCUUGAUCAGCUCAGGUCCUGGUUUCAGGGUCAUGGGAUCAAGCCCCAUCUCCAGCU
rnacentral:tRNA from 1 species